rnacentral:rRNA from 1 species
UACGGAGGGUGCAAGCAUUGAUCGGAAUUACUGGGCGUAAAGGGCGCGUAGGCGGUCGAGAAAGUCAGAUGUGAAAUUCCGGGGCUCAACCCCGGAGCUGCAUUUGAAACUUCUCGACUAGAGUACAAUUAGGGAAAACGGAAUUCCACGUGUAGCGGUGAAAUGCGUAGAUAUGUGGAAGAACACCGGUGGUGAAGACGGUUUUCUGGGUUGUAACUGACGCUGAGGCGCGAAAGCUAGGGGAGCAAACAGG